CCCGUCUUUGCGGAUGGUGUAAGGCUUGGAUGUUGGAGGUCUAUUGUCGGUUUGUAACGAACCGGCUCCUCUUAAAUGCAUUAGCUCAGUCCUUUGUGGAUCGGCUCCCAGUGUGAUAAUUAUCUGCGCUGCGACCGUGAAGCGUUUUAUUAUGGCGAGCUUCUAA
rnacentral:misc_RNA from 1 species